UUGCACUGUCCGUAACCUGUUACUUGUCUCUUGUCUUGCAUCAGGUUCCAUUCCAGUGCUACAUUAAUCCCGGCACUAUGUAGGUUGGAUCUUCAUGCUAUCUCUGACCUCUUCAGAGUUGGGAACAUGU